ACUUUCGAUAGACUAGCACAUUGAAAAAAAAAAUAUCUUGUAAAAUAUUACAGGUGAAAAAAUAAUUAAAAAAUGUAACGUAAAGAGUCGUAAUUCACAGAUGUCAUCAAUCUGCGGUUCAUAUUUCUCAUGAAACAUCUCCAGCAUCGCCAUGGAUGACCUUUUAACUCUCUCCCAUGAUCCAAGAACUUUGAUUUGCCAAAUAAUUAGCAACCCAUUCGUUGCAACCAAGCCGCCACCCCUCUUAGGAAAAAAAAUAUCACAGAUUAUAUAUAUUUUUUUCUCACCACCAUUAAUAGCCACCCGAAACUCACCCCCAUUUUUUUCUUUUCUUUCACAAAUUAGGCCAUGCUCCACCACGUUGUCGUAUGUUCCUCCUCUCAGCCAAAGUUUUACCCACCGCCAGAAUCAACUUCCCUUGUCACCAUCAAACCUCUCUCUUCACCACCAAGCAGUACUGACCAAAUCAAACCCGUAAGCUGUUGCAGCCUCUCUUCAACUAAAAACAAAAAAGAAGGCAUCUCACGAUUGAGGAAGUCGAUAUAGCCUAGGAAAAGCAAUCUAGCAACAAACACCAAUCUCGUUCAAUCGUAAGAGGAAAGCGACCGACGAAGACCGACCAACAAACACCUAUGUGGCACGAACCGAACACUGUAGCACAUGGGCAGGAGAUGAAGAGGCAGAGCUCAAACUCACGCCACCGUCAACCAGUUUCAUCCGCCAACACCAUAUGAGAAAUCAAAGUUUUUGGGUUCCGGGGGAGAGGGCCGAAAGGUCAUUCAUGGUGAUGUUGGAGAUACUUUAUGAGAAACGCGAGUUGCAGAUACAUGAUCUGGAGUCCAAAAAUUGCAACACCACCUAUCAACAGAUAAUAAACGCGAGCCAGUGUAGCUAGGUUUCCCGGUUCACCUUUUAUCCUUCCUGACCAAAUCGGGUCACACAAGUCUCACUCACAACUUCCUGGCCUCCACUGGGUGAAUGGCGAGAGGUGAUGGCAGGCCUAAGAUCUUGGGUCUCUUGAGAUUUCACUGUGCAAUUUCAGAUCUUGGAAAAUUAAAAAUCAUGCAGAAAUCAUUUGACCUUGGGCAUUAAGACAACGAGCUUCUGUUUGUUUAUGUAAAAUAUGCUUCUGUAAUAUAUGUAUUUUUUUCAUUUCCUCAUAAUCGAUUUUAUUAAGGAAAAUUUAGUCAA